UACGGAAGGCAGCAGUGGGGAAUAUUGCACAAUGGGCGCAAGCCUGAUGCAGCCAUGCCGCGUGUAUGAAAAAGGCCUUCGGGUUGUAAAGUACUUUCAGUCGUGAGGAAGGUGUUAAGGUUAAUAACCUUAGCAAUUGACAUUAGCGACAGAAGAAGCACCGGCUAACUCCGUGCCAGCAGCCGCGGUAAUACGGAGGGUGCGAGCGUUAAUCGGAAUUACUGGGCGUAAAGGGCACGCAGGCGGUUAAUUAAGUUGGAUGUGAAAUCCCCGGGCUUAACCUGGGAAUGGCAUUCAAGACUGGUUAGCUAGAGUCUUGUAGAGGGGGUAGAAUUCCAUGUGUAGCGGUGAAAUGCGUAGAGAUGUGGAGGAAUACCGGUGGCGAAGGCGGCCCCUGGGACAAGACUGACGCUCAUGUGCGAAAGCGUGGGGAGCAAACGAGGAUUAGAUACC
rnacentral:rRNA from 1 species